CCAGACUCCUACGGGAGGCAGCAGUGGGGAAUAUUGGGCAAUGGCCGCAAGUCUGACCCAGCAACGCCGCGUGAAGGAAGAAGGCUUUCGGGUUGUAAACUUCUUUUAAGGGGGAAGAGCAGAAGACGGUAUCCCUUGAAUAAGCCACGGCUAACUACGUGCCAGCAGCCGCGGUAAUACGUAGGUGGCAAGCGUUGUCCGGAUUUACUGGGUGUAAAGGGCGUGCAGCCGGAGAGACAAGUCAGAUGUGAAAUCCACGGGCUCAACCCGUGAACUGCAUUUGAAACUGUGCUUCUUGAGUGCUGGAGAGGCAGACGGAAUUCCUAGUGUAGCGGUGAAAUGCGUAGAUAUUAGGAGGAACACCAGUGGCGAAGGCGGUCUGCUGGACAGUAACUGACGGUGAGGCGCGAAAGCGUGGGGAGCAAACAGGAUUAGAUACCCGUGUA
rnacentral:rRNA from 1 species